CCAGACUCCUACGGGAGGCAGCAGUGAGGAAUAUUGGUCAAUGGGCGAGAGCCUGAACCAGCCAAGUCGCGUGAGGGAGUACUGCCCUAUGGGUUGUAAACCUCUUUUGUCGGGGAGCAAAAGCCGGACGUGUCCGGCUGUGAGAGUACCCGAAGAAAAAGCAUCGGCUAACUCCGUGCCAGCAGCCGCGGUAAUACGGAGGAUGCGAGCGUUAUCCGGAUUUAUUGGGUUUAAAGGGUGCGCAGGCGGAUUUUUAAGUCAGCGGUCAAAUCGUGGGGCUCAACCCCAUCCAGCCGUUGAAACUGGGGAUCUAGAGUGUGCGAGAAGUACGCGGAAUGCGCGGUGUAGCGGUGAAAUGCUUAGAUAUCGCGCAGAACCCCGAUUGCGAAGGCAGCGUACCGGCUCCACACUGACGCUGAGGCACGAAAGCGUGGGUAGCGAACGGGAUUAGAUACCCUGGUA
rnacentral:rRNA from 1 species